AGUGAACGCUGGCGGUAGGCCUAACACAUGCAAGUCGAACGGCAGCACAGUAAGAGCUUGCUCUUACGGGUGGCGAGUGGCGGACGGGUGAGUAAUACAUCGGAAUCUACUUUUUCUUGGGGGAUAACGUAGGGAAACUUACGCUAAUACCGCAUACGACCUACGGGUGAAAUCAGGGGAUCUUCGGACCUUGCGCGAUUGAAUGAGCCGAUGUCGGAUUAGCUAGUUGGCGGGGUAAAGUCCCACCAAGGCGACGAUCCGUAGCUGGUCUGAGAGGAUGAUCAGCCACACUGGAACUGAGACACGGUACAGACUCCUACGGGAGGCAGCAGUGGGGAAUAGUGGACAAUGGGCGCAAGCCUGAUCCAGCCAUACCGCGUGGGUGAAGAAGGACUUCGGGUUGUAAAGCCCUUUUGUUGGGAAAGAAAAGCAGCAGGUUAAUACCCCGAUGUUCUGACGGUACCCAAAGAAUAAGCACCGGCUAACUUCGUG
rnacentral:rRNA from 1 species